rnacentral:rRNA from 1 species
AGCGAACGCUGGCGGCAGGCUUAACACAUGCAAGUCGAACGCUCGCAGCAAUGCGGGAGUGGCAGACGGGUGAGUAACGCGUGGGAACGUGCCCUUUGGUUCGGAAUAACCCAGGGAAACUUGGGCUAAUACCGGAUAAGCCCCUUACGGGGGAAAGAUUUAUCGCCGAAGGAUCGGCCCGCGUCCGAUUAGCUAGUUGGUGAGGUAAUGGCUCACCAAGGCGACGAUCGGUAGCUGGUCUGAGAGGAUGAUCAGCCACACUGGGACUGAGACACGGCCCAGACUCCUACGGGAGGCAGCAGUGGGGAAUAUUGGACAAUGGGGGCAACCCUGAUCCAGCCAUGCCGCGUGAGUGAUGAAGGCCCUAGGGUUGUAAAGCUCUUUCGACGGGGACGAUAAUGACGGUACCCGUAGAAGAAGCCCCGGCUAACUUCGUGCCAGCCGCCGCGGUAAUAC